UACGGAGGGUGCAAGCGUUAUCCGGAUUUACUGGGCGUAAAGGGCGCGUAGGCGGUCAGCACAAGUCAGUUGUGAAAUCUCCGGGCUUAACCCGGAAAGGUCAACUGAUACUGUGCGACUAGAGUGCGGAAGGGGCAACUGGAAUUCUCGGUGUAGCGGUGAAAUGCGCAGAUAUCAGGAGGAACACCGAUGGCGAAGGCAGGUCUCUGGGCCAUAACUGACGCUGAGAAGCGAAAGCAUGGGGAGCGAACAGG
rnacentral:rRNA from 1 species